GGAGCGGCGAGGACGCGCGCUUCGCCUGGGUCGCUGGCGGACGCGCGCCGGAGUCCGAGCCUGAGACGCGCGGGCGCGAGGGACCGUGCAGAAACGGAGACUGGGGCAGCUGGAGGCGACAGCUUCGGAAGCUUCGGAAACACGCACGACAGCUGGGCUCCGGGGUCUUAGGCAGUAGCGCCCCGGCAGGGAGGUGGGCGCGGCACGAAAACGAAUUUUUGUGCUGCUCUCCAGUGAAAGCCAGUACCCCUAUUUGCUGAAGGCUUUUUAACCAAGGCUGCUUUCAGCUCUUGACAUUACCCAGAGAAAAGGUGGACUCAGAAAUCAGGGAAGCAUUGGAGGUUUCUGACCCUGAGGAUCUUCUGAAGGUGAGAGGGAGUGGCUUCUUUUUUGUCUUUAGUAGUUAAGUAGUUAACUAUAGGUAGUUAAAUUAACUGGUAUGUCUGCCACAAUCCAUUUCUUCAAAGAAUGAAUGGGGAACCGUUUCUGAGAAUUCUCUGUGUGUGACCAUGAGAUUUUCUCUGGGGAAGAAUUGUUAGUGGUAAAUGAAUUGGAAGUUAUUUUAAGUGAAACUUUGAUCUAUAAGGAUGUAUUUGAGCACAUAUAUAAACUCUUAAGCACAUCACUAAAGUAACAGCAACAAAACCCACAGUCUAGCCGGGUGUGGUGAUAUAGCUUCUGUCCUGGCACUUAAGGCAGAGGCUGUCAGAGUUCUGUGAGUUAAAUGUCAGUGUGGUCUACAUAGCUGCAGGCCAGCCAGACCACACAGUGAGCCUGUGUCUAAAUAUCAAAAACUCCACCCUCAAAAAAAAAAAAUCAAGCAAUCAAAACACAGUAGUAGUGCUCUAUUUCUGAGAAUUGCUAUGUAGCUAGUGUUGGUCUUUAUGCCUGCUGUCCCUGGCCUUCCAAGCUCACAUGGUUUAGUUUAUGUAAAGGCAUAUUAUAAGCUCAAAUAUCUUUACAUAAUAAGAAAAUCAUUCAGUAUUAUUUCUAAAUACUCAUUUCCCCCCAAUAUAUUAUCCAACCUUUCAAUUCUUUUCUUCCAGAGUUUAUCAAUAAACCUUGCUAUGGUCUCAAUCAACAAUGAUAGUGUGCACUCAACCAAUAUCUCUCAAAUGUUAAAUAUAGAUAUUUGUAGUAAAUAUUAAAUGUAACUAUAGGUAGAUCUGUUAAAAAGAAGAGAAUGACAAGUCCAGUAAGUUGUGAACAUAUUGGGAGUACAUUAAAGCCUUCAGCAGGCACCAGUGCAUCUCAGAUCUGGAGGAUGAUGUACGGUGAAGCAGGCUCCUGGAGAUGAAGUGGCUUUUGAAAGAUGAUCAAAAAAUGGAUUUAAGUGGCAGAGGUGGAAAAGGUGCCCCAGGCCAGAGCAGAGGGGUACAGUUGUGAAUCCCAAAAGGAAAACAGGGAAUUAUAUGGUGAUGUGGAACCUUAAGGUCUGGUGAGUGUGUAUGUAUGAUGAGAGGGAAACACAGACACUCUGAGAAGCUUUAAGCUGAAACUCAUGAGCAUUUUGGGUGUGUUACUCUGGAGUGAGUAAAGAGAAUCUGAGAGGGGUUAGCAAGACUGAAAGAAGGAAAGACUAAUUUUUGGAAUAGUCUUGGGAAUAUUUUCGAGAAAUAGAAUUUGAAUAGAAGCAGGAAGCAACAGAACAAGAGCGUUAUUUGAAGAAGUGAGAAUUUGCUAGAUUUGAAGACUGGUUGUGCUUGGGAGGAGGAAAAAUCAGGACUUAAGACUUUUGCGUUUCCGACUGGGAUGGCUAAGAAGAACAUGAUGGAUAAAAGGUGAAAGCAGAAUACUUUGGAGAAGGUAGGGCAUCAAGGCAGGUGAGGACAUCUGAGUAGAAUUGUUUACCAGGUGGCUGGAAGGAUCAAGUGGAGGUAAAAGGGGAAAUUGGGUCUAGAAACAUUGAAAUCGUAGGCCAGCUUAGUCAGUGUUCUGUGGCUGUGAGAAACAGCCUGGGGAAGCCAACUUACACAGAGGAAAGAAAGAUUUGGUUGGCUCAAAGUUUCAGUCCAUGGUCACCUGGCUGUGUUGCUUUUGGGUCUGGGGUGAGGCAGGGGUUCAUGAUGGCAAGCACAUUGUAGAAUAAAGCUGCAAAUCUCAGGGUGACUGGAAAGCAGAGAGAGCAGGGAAGGAGCUAGGAUUCCAAUAUCAUCUUCAAUGGCGAGGCCCUGAUGGCUUGACAUCCUCUUAUUAGAAAGGUAAUAAGCCCGCCUCUACAGGCCCACAGGCUAGCCACUCACCUUAGCUAUAAAGCUCUCGAACGACACAUGCACUCCAAUCCACUGUCCAGGGAUCCAGCUUAGUUAGGAGAGUUCUAGCCUUGCAUCUAUGGAACCCUGACGUCAUCUCUAAUAUCACAAAAUAUAAAAACUGAAAAGAAGUAACAAGAUCCCAAGCAGGCAGUAACUACAGUUUCUUAAAAUGUAAUUCAAUACUUAAGUGUUCAAUAUAAUUUGUUCAUAUAUGUAAGACACAACCCAAAAUCUUAUCAAUUUCCAUUUGAACAUUAUUUGUUGUUUCAUUUAUAUAAGUCGCCGUAGGUUUUGUUUUCAUGGCACCAUAGAUUGAGCUGUUUCCUAGGAACCAAAUUGAUAGCCCUUUUAGUUU
rnacentral:lncRNA from 1 species